UGAGUGGCUUCUGGGGGCUUGAGUUG
rnacentral:piRNA from 1 species